CCUACGAGUGGCAGCAGUGAGGAAUAUUGGUCAAUGGACGAGAGUCUGAACCAGCCAAGUAGCGUGAAGGAUGACUGUCCUAUGGGUUGUAAACUUCUUUUAUAUGGGAAUAAAAUGCUCUACGUGUGGGAUUUUGUAUGUAUCAUAUGAAUAAGCAUCGGCUAACUCCGUGCCAGCAGCCGCGGUAAUACGGAGGAUCCGAGCGUUAUCCGGAUUUAUUGGGUGUAAAGGGAGCGUAGGUGGAUUGUUAAGUCAGUUGUGAAAGUUGGGGGCUCAACCGUCAAAUUGCAGUUGAAACUGGCAGUCUUGAGUACAGUAGAGGUAGGCGGAAUUCGUGGUGUAGCGGUGAAAUGCUUAGAUAUUGCGAAGAACACCGGUGGCGAAGGCAGCUCACUGGACUGCAACUGACACUGAGGCUCGAAAGUGUGGGUAGCAAACAGGAUUAGAUACCCUUGUAGUC
rnacentral:rRNA from 1 species